UGAUGACGAGACGCUAAGGCGUUGAAGCAGUGUAUGUCAGACUUCCAAGAAAAGCUCGCAAUGUCAUAAAUAGAAAAUGCCUGUACCAUAACCGACACAGGUGGGUAGGUAGAGUAUACUAAGGGGCGCGAGAUAACUCUCUCUAAGGAACUCGGCAAAAUGACUCCGUAACUUCGGGAGAAGGAGUGCCUUAUUUAUAAGGUUGCAAUAACAAGAUCCAAGCAACUGUUCAUCAAAAACACAGGUCUCCGCUAAGUCGUAAGACGAUGUAUGGGGGCUGACGCCUGCCCAGUGCCAGAAGGUUAAAGAAGUUGGUUAGUGUAUGCGAAGCUGAUGACUGAAGCCCUGGUGAACGGCGGCCGUAACUAUAACGGUCCUAAGGUAGCGAAAUUCCUUGUCGGGUAAGUUCCGACCCGCACGAAAGGCGUAAUGAUUUGGAUACUGUCUCGGAGAGAGGCUCGGUGAAAUAGACGUGUCUGUGAAGAUGCGGACUACCUGCACCAGGACAGAAAGACCCUAUGAAGCUUUACUGUAACUUGAAAUUGGAAUUGGACUUUGCUUGCGCAGUAUAGGUGGGAAGCGUUGAAGAUAUUCUUGCGGGAGUAUUGGAGCUAUCAGUGAGAUACCACUCUUGUAAUGUUAGAUUUCUAACUUUGAACCAUAAUCUGGUCAAAGAACAGUUUCAGGUGGGCAGUUUGACUGGGGCGGUCGCCUCCCAAAUGGUAACGGAGGCGUACAAAGGUUUCCUCUGAACGGAUAGAAAUCGUAUCUAGAGUGUAAAGGCAUAAGGAAGCUUGACUGUGAGACCUACAAGUCGAGCAGGGACGAAAGUCGGUCUUAGUGAUCUGAUGGUACUGAGUGGAAGGGCCGUCACUCAACGGAUAAAAGUUACUCUAGGGAUAACAGGCUGAUCUCCCCCAAGAGUUCACAUCGACGGGGAGGUUUGGCACCUCGAUGUCGGCUCAUCGCAUCCUGGGGCGGUAGUACGUCCCAAGGGUUGGGCUGUUCGCCCAUGAAAGCGGUACGCGAGCUGGGUUCAGAACGUCGUGAGACAGUUCGGUCCAUAUCCGGUGUAGGCGCUAGAAUAUUGAGAGGAGCCUUCUUUAGUACGAGAGGACCGAGAAGGACACACCGCUGGUGUACCAGUUAUCGUGCCAACGGUAAACGCUGGGUAGCUAUGUGUGGAGUGGAUAGCCGCUGAAAGCAUCUAAGUGGGAAGCCCACCUCAAGAUGAGUAUUCC
rnacentral:rRNA from 1 species